UCGUUCGGUGGAAACGAGAAUAAAACGUGAAGGAUAACGUUGCGUCAGCAACGGCCCGUAGGGCGAGGCGAAGCCGAGUCAUCCUGCACGACCCACCA
rnacentral:sRNA from 1 species